UACGAAGGGGGCUAGCGUUGUUCGGAAUUACUGGGCGUAAAGGGCGCGUAGGCGGUACUUCAAGUCAGGCGUGAAAGCCCCGGGCUCAACCUGGGAAUUGCAUUCGAGACUGAAUAGCUAGGGUGCGGUAGAGGGAAGCGGAAUUUCCGGUGUAGCGGUGAAAUGCGUAGAUAUCGGAAGGAACAUCAGUGGCGAAAGCGGCUUCCUGGACCAGCACCGACGUUCAGGCACGAAAGCGUGGGGAGCAAACAGG
rnacentral:rRNA from 1 species